AUUACUGAAGCUUGUGAAUUGUUCAAGACUAUUGAGCUGCCUGCAUCUUCAAAAGACAUAUCUGAGCAUGAUAUCGCUACGUACCUGGUGGGACGAUAUGGUAUCAACAAGAUAGCACGGAUAUGUUCCGUGCUUUCUGGAUUUCCGAAGACACUAAACACCUUCCAUGUAUCCAAGUACAUAGCAAAAGUCACAGAUAUGGAUGAUGCACACUUGCUAGCCUCUUUCAUUACGAUUCAUUGUCCACACCUAAUAGCCACAUUCACAUCUAACCAUCCAUCACCAACUCUGUUAGCUCCUCCAGUGUGUAACUGCUUUGAAUGCCAACGUCAAUUGACUUCAAAUCAUGACUGUGAAGUCACCCUUUACACAUUAUCUGGUGUGAAGAAAUUGCCGAAAGUCACUCUUAUAGGUGUCAGCCAUGUGGUUUGACUUAUAACUAUGCGAUGUGGGGGAGAAAACAAACCUCUGGCUUUCAAUACUAUCAGAGCCAGCAAAAUUUAAUUGAAGUUUAUGACACCGUUUUCUUCACUCGGCCUCUCCUAGAAUUUCAGUGCUCCCUUGCGAACCACUCAUGGGUUUCCUUCCAGGGUUUUAGUGAAACAUACAAUGACACUCAUUCUCUCAACAAGGACCAAUGUUUUAUGCUAUAAUUAUAAUUAUAUUAAUGUAUAUAAAUUCAAUUAUAUACACAUGGCUUGCAUCCGCAUUAAUUUUACUUCUUGUUAAUUCAGCCAUGACAGAAAAGAUUGCAGCAGAUGCAUUCUACAAUGGAGAGAUUGAGAAUGAAAUUAGGUUUCUUGUACUAGCAACCAAUCCUACUUUUUCCCUAAGUCAUUUCACCUUCAAACGAGACAGUGACAGAGAGGAAACAAUGGAAAUGAUUGAAACAAUUUGCUCAUGCAGUAUAUAUACCCUCACUGUGA